UUGAAUUUAAACAUUCCCGUUUCAAGGAGUGGAAUUAGCGGCGUUUUGUGAUAAAUGCCACAACUGUCUUUUUUUUUUUUUACCAAAACUCCAUCGUUUUAGGUUCAUCCAAUUUAUUCCAAGUGCUCCCGAUAGCUGUUCUUCUUCCCCUUAACAAAAUUUCCCCAAUUCCCUCUCUUCUCCUUUAAUCCCUAAAUUUUCAUCCCCAAGUUCCCAACCCAUUUGCCACCGAAGACGCCGACCGGACCACCUAGUGCAUCGCGCUCGACUGACUAACCCCUCUGCUGCGUCGCCGUCACCGUCGGUCUCUACUGCCAUAGCCAAUCGGUAAAAGGGCUCGAUAGUUUGGUUUCUAUUGUUGCUUCUAGGUCUGGAAAAGGGCUCCCAAUUAUUGUUAUUACACCCUAAUUACUUUUGUUCAUUUAGUUGAAGAGUCUUUUCUUGUUCGUCCAUCAUCAUCUUCCUCCUACCAUCAUCCCCCUUCUCUCCCUCUCGCGUCUCUGCAAAUCAGUUUCUUUUUCUUCUCUUUUCAUCUCAUUUCUCACCUGCCGCCGUGUCCGCUAGUUUUUUCCGAACCUGACGAGUCCGGGUAACGAAGAUUGUGAAUUAGAAUGCCCUUAAAUCAAUGGAUCAGAAACGGGUUCAAGAUUUCCUUUUAGAUAUAAGGGUGAUGCCGAUAGCGCUCUUCACAGGCUUUGGCAGAAGAAGAAAGCCGAAGUCAAACAGUAGUAGUCGGGUACCUUUUUAUUACCGGUCUCUGAACUCAGGGAGGGAAAAUUCUUGGCAAUGACUGUUAAAUUCUAGUUUGUUUAGCUUGAAGGUUAGGUAUAUGCUUGAAGCUAGAGAAAGAACAAGGGUGAAGCUAGAUUUAACGUUUGGAUUGAAGCUUGGUGUUGAACCUACUGUUUAGGGAAGCUUAUUAAGCAAAGGUAGUAGAAGAUAUGGUGUUUUUGAAUGUGAUCCACUAGUUCGCAAAGGACUUGAGAAAACUGUCAUUCCUUAUAUGCCGAUAUUAGCGCCUCCACAAAACUGGACAGGGUAAUCCCCAGCAUUAGUGGAUCGAUGUUGCGAGGGACUCGGAGAUGGCCAUACGAUUACUUGGACUCUAAUUAUGUUUUAAAUUCUGAUUUGGGUUUUAAAUUUUGUAAUAAGGCCUCUUUGGAUUUUGUUUUAGUUUGGGGAUUUUUAGUUGUUACAUUUAUUAGCUUUAAGUAGAACUCGGUUUUCUAAAAA